GAUGAACGCUGGCGGCGUGCCUAAUACAUGCAAGUCGAGCGGAAGGACGAGAAGCUUGCUUUUCUGAUGUUAGCGGCGGACGGGAGAGUAACACGUGGAUAACCUACCUAUCAGACUGGGAUAACUUCGGGAAACCGGAGCUAAUACCGGAUAAUAUUUUGAACCGCAUGGUUCAAAAGUGAAAGACGGUCUUGCUGUCACUAAUAGAUGGAUCCGCGCUGCAUUAGCUAGUUGGUAAGGUAACGGCUUACCAAGGCAACGAUGCAUAGCCGACCGGAGAGAGUGAUCGGCCACACUGGAACGGGGACAGGGUCCUGACUCCUACGGGAGGCAGCAGUAGGGAAUCGUCCGCAAUGGGCGAAAGCCUGACGGAGCAACGCCGCGUGAGUUAUGAAGGUCUUCGGAUCGUAAAACUCUGUUAUUAGGGAAGAACAUAUGUGUAAGUAACUGUGCACAGCUUGACGGUACCGAAUCAGAAAGCCACGGCUAACUACGUG
rnacentral:rRNA from 1 species